rnacentral:lncRNA from 1 species
AUGUUAAAAGUAACAUCCAUAUAGAAAAAAUGCUUCUAUUCUAACACACAAUGUUUUGCAAAAAAGAGCACUAGUACUGAUGAGUCGUACCUACAAGGAUGCCGUCUACAAUUCUGAAAUUAUUGUUGAGUCAUACUAGUACUAUUACUGUUGAAAAUGGGAAGCAAGUGUCACAUGAAUCCUCAAUUGAAUGGGAAGCAAGUUGAUCCUCGCUCCUUCAACUCCACUUCGCCAGUGCCCGUCAGUCUGCAGGAGUAGGGGCGGCAUGUCCGUCAACAAACAAGAACAGAAGGUAUGUGCUUGGAAAACCUAAAAUUAUGUUCACAUUUGGGCAACAGUAGUUGUAGCUUCUUUCAAAGUUCAAAAUGAAAGAUAUUCAAUUCAACUUGUUCUAUCAAAACAUGUGUGGGACCUUGGCAGCAUGUCAGACACACUAUCUAGUGCAGAAAAAUGUUCGGCGUAGUUCAGCGCGCCGCCGCCGCCUACCCCUGCCUCCAAGUGCCGCUGGUCUAUGAGUUCAACAUGUAUAACCCUAUAAGUUCAUAGAAAAAUAGAAAACAAAAUAAACAAAAAUAAUGAUACACAAAACCCAUGGAAUUCAUAGGGAAAAGAUAACAAGUUCUAAGGAAAUAAAUAUAGAAGUUCAUAUUCCAAAAUAAAUGAAGUAUUUGGGAAGUAAAAAUGAAGUAUUUCAAAGUGUAGAAAUCUUUUUAGGUUUCUUUGGGAACUUCUAAUGUUACUACACAUGAACUUGCUUAGUUACACAAAUAUGAAACUGAUUGUGCAAGUGACUUAGAAUGUGUUUGAACUUGUUAUGGGAACUCAUGACUUGUUAUGAUUAAAUGCAGGGAGCAAUUGGCGCCGAAUGGGCCCCUGGGAGCUAGUCCAACCCGCUCGCAGACUGGAGGGCAUGCCGGUUUAUUUCCAAUGAAGCCCUAUGUACAAUCAGUCUGUUCGUUUGAUAAGAAAGGAGACAACAUAGAAGUUAUGGUUGAAGCAAGUCCCUCCGUCCAGUUAUGUCCGAUUUUUGUGAUAGUAGUUCAAAAUGAGGGAUAUAUUGUAUAAACUUUUUUGGACUUGUGCCCAGGCUGCUUCUAAACAACUCCAAUGCUUUAUUGGCCUCAGUACUACAGUUUGGUAACUUUUAACUGAGAACUCUAUGAACUCUUGGACAUGUUCAUAAAG